rnacentral:rRNA from 1 species
CCUACGGGAGGCAGCAGUAAGGAAUAUUGGUCAAUGGACGAGAGUCUGAACCAGCCAAGUCGCGUGAAGGAUGACUGCCCUAUGAGUUUUAAACUUCUUUUAUAUAGGAGUAAAAUGUUCCACGUGUGGGAUUUUGUAUGUACCAUAUGAAUAAGGAUCGGCUAACUCCGUGCCAGCAGCCGCGGUAAUACGGAGGAUCCGAGCGUUAUCCGGAUUUAUUGGGCUUAAAGGGAGCGUAGGUGGAUUGUUAAGUCAGUUGUGAAAGUUUGCGGCUCAACCGUAAAAUUGCAGUUGAAACUGGCAGUCUUGAGUACAGUAGAGGUGGGCGGAAUUCGUGGUGUAGCGGUGAAAUGCUUAGAUAUCACGAAGAACUCCGAUUGCGAAGGCAGUUCACUGGACCGCAACUGACACUGAGGCUCGAAAGUGUGGGUAUCAAACAGGAUUAGAUACCCGGGUAGUC